ACAUUGCCUAAUGGAUAAGGCAUUGGCCUCCUAAGCCAGGGAUUGUGGGUUCAUGUCUCAUCUGU
rfam:Alligator mississippiensis ScZkoYb_180, whole genome shotgun sequence.